CUCAAUUUUCUCUCUUCCGGUCUUCUCUUUCUUCUACAAUCCUUCAAGGUCUCACUGGUUAUACAAGAUUUGAUCAAAAUCAAAGAUCUGUGAACAUUGAUUGUAGUUUUUCAUGAUGAACCGUAAAUUUUAUGUCACUAUCGGACUGGGAUGCUUUGUGAAUCAAUC